rnacentral:rRNA from 1 species
CCUACGGGUGGCAGCAGUGAGGAAUAUUGGUCAAUGGACGAGAGUCUGAACCAGCCAAGUAGCGUGAAGGAUGACUGCCCUAUGGGUUGUAAACUUCUUUUAUAUGGGAAUAAAAUGUUCCACGUGUGGGAUUUUAUAUGUACCAUAUGAAUAAGUAUCGGCUAACUCCGUGCCAGCAGCCGCGGUAAUCCGGAGGAUCCGAGCGUUAUCCGGAUUUAUUGGGUUUAAAGGGAGCGUAGGUGGAUUGUUAAGUCAGUUGUGAAAGUUUGCGGCUCAACCGUAAAAUUGCAGUUGAAACUGGCAGGCUUGAGUACAGUAGAGGUGGGCGGAAUUCGUGGUGUAGCGGUGAAAUGCUUAGAUAUCACGAAGAACUCCGAUUGCGAAGGCAGCUCACUGGACUGCAACUGACACUGAGGCUCGAAAGUGUGGGUAUCAAACAGGAUUAGAUACCCGUGUAGUC